rnacentral:lncRNA from 1 species
UAAACAAUAUUUCACCGUUCUGUUCCUUGUUGUGUAGGAAAUAAAGCCGCAGCGGAAGGGAAGUGCUCAGAGAAACGCUCUUGCUUCAGCCCUUAAACUGCAGAGAAGGAUUGUAAGGACACUGAAUGAGAGCAUGGAUGAGCUUAACCUACGCCAAAAGAGUCUAUGGUGGAGCAGGUGGAUCCCAAGAGAGGAAUGAACACUGUAAAUACACAUAUUCAAUUUUUCUCUUUCUGUAAAUUUUGUGUAUUAAUUUGAACCGACUGUUCUAAUGGAAUAGAGUAAACGGAAUGACUUGAAAUGUAAGAAACUAGCUGGAACCUUAUAGCAACAUACCUGGAACUCUUUGAACGCACGUGCGAACUCCUUCAUUAAUGAUAAGUUUAUAGAAUAAUCAUCCUAAAUGAGCAGAAACUGCCAUGAAGCAUCAAAGUUUCUCAUCUUGCGCCAGUUUUCUUGAUGCUUCCUUGCGUGGUAACCUGGAAUGUUGUACUAUGUGACGUACAUUGUAAGAUUUAAAUUCUAAUGGAUCCCCUGGUUUUAAAUUUCAUCAGAAACCGCCCUGAAAAUGCCUAAAUCUGUUGUCG